AGUGAACGCUGGCGGUAGGCCUAACACAUGCAAGUCGAACGGCAGCACAGAGGAGCUUGCUCCUUGGGUGGCGAGUGGCGGACGGGUGAGGAAUACAUCGGAAUCUACUCUGUCGUGGGGGAUAACGUAGGGAAACUUACGCUAAUACCGCAUACGACCUACGGGUGAAAGCAGGGGACCUUCGGGCCUUGCGCGAUUGAAUGAGCCGAUGUCGGAUUAGCUAGUUGGCGGGGUAAAGGCCCACCAAGGCGACGAUCCGUAGCUGGUCUGAGGGGAUGAUCGUGCACACUGGAACUGAGACACGGUCCAGACGCCUACGGGAGGCAGAAGUGGGGAAUAUUGGACAAUGGGCGCCAGCCUGAUCCAGCCAUACCGCGUGGGUGAAGAAGGCCUUCGGGGUGUAAAGCCCUUUUGUUGGGAAAGAAACCCAGCUGGCUAAUAUCCGGUUGGGAUGACGGUACCCAAAGAAUAAGCACCGGCUAACUUCGUGCCAGCCGCCGCAGUAA
rnacentral:rRNA from 1 species